UGAACAACGUCCCUCGUGUUGUUUAUUCCAGCUCUGCUGAGCUUCUCUUCUGUCCUGAUCCACAGUAACCCAGUGAGAGUGAGAGUGAGAAAUACGGCCAACACGAGACAGUCUCUCUCUCUCUCUCUCUCUCUCUCUGUGCAAUCAUGGAGGUUAGUGUGUGGGAUAUUUUUGUUGUUCGUGAGUUAGGCAGGCAGUGUUUCAAAGCAGUUUAUAGCACAUUUACAUGGUGCCAUCUAGUUAUAUAAUCCAUUAAUUAAUUAAUUAUCUGUACAAUACUAUUAGCUUGCCACGCUAUUUGAGUACGAUUGUUAUAAGAAUAGGCUACAAAUUGAACAAACGACUUCAAGGCAAGGUAUGCAUUUUACCACUUUGACAACGUAACUUAACAUUUAACCGAGGGCACGGAGAGCAGCACAGGUCAUGAGAGAGGCUGGUACGAACACUGGAUUAAGUCUAGGUUGCAAAGCUGGAUUGGGUUGCUCCGCCAGUGUUUCGGGAUGAGACUUGGGCUUGAACAUGUACAGCUAACCCGAAGCCAUGGUUACGGCUGAAGCAACUUUGUUUUGGAUCACACUACCUUGCUUGUCCGGACCCGCCCUACUCUGCUUCUGAUUGGCUAGUAGUCCUUACCUGGGAACUGUGCAUGUGCAACUCCAAACAAAGAUCACAUAAAAGUGAAUUGUUUCACUCUGUAGCUAAAACGGAGCAUUCAACACAGUGUGAAAAGAGGUGCUGCAGCAAUGUGCAGUCUGACAAAAAUAUGGUGUUUCUUGUAAAUUACACGAUAUAAACCUAUUUUGGUUCAACCCCUGAAUAAAUUAUGAACCUGAAAA